AACGCACGAGACCUGCGGACCUGCGGAGGGAUCAUUAAUGAGUUGCAAAACUCCCUAAACCAUUGUGAACCUACCUGUACCGUUCCUUCGGCGGGCGGCGUCAAGCCCUAACCCGUCUCCCUUUACGGGGGAUGGACCCGCCGGAGGCUCCUAAACUCUUAACUUUUGUUGGCAUCUCUGAGUAAAUCAAAAUAAGUCAAAACUUUCAGCAACGGAUCUCU
rnacentral:misc_RNA from 1 species